AGUGAACGCUGGCGGUAGGCCUAACACAUGCAAGUCGAACGGCAGCACAGGAGAGCUUGCUCUCUGGGUGGCGAGUGGCGGACGGGUGAGGAAUACAUCGGAAUCUGCCCAGUCGUGGGGGAUAACGUAGGGAAACUUACGCUAAUACCGCAUACGACCUUCGGGUGAAAGAGGGGGAUCGCAAGACCUCUCGCGAUUGGAUGAGCCGAUGUCGGAUUAGCUAGUUGGCGGGGUAAUGGCCCACCAAGGCGACGAUCCGUAGCUGGUCUGAGAGGAUGAUCAGCCACACUGGAACUGAGAAACGGUCCAGACUCCUACGGGAGGCAGCAGUGGGGAAUAUUGGACAAUGGGCGCAAGCCUGAUCCAGCCAUACCGCGUGGGUGAAGAAGGCCUUCGGGUUGUAAAGCCCUUUUGUUGGGAAAGAAAUCUUUCAGGCUAAUACCCUGGGAGGAUGACGGUACCCAAAGAAUAAGCACCGGCUAACUUCGUG
rnacentral:rRNA from 1 species